rnacentral:rRNA from 1 species
CAGUCUGAGCAGAMAAUGAUGAGUGUCAUAGGCAAGAAUUGUCUAUAAAUGAAAGUGUAAGCAUUCCACCUCAAGAGUAAUGYGGCAACGCAKAAACUGAAAUCAUUAGACCGUUUCUGAAACCAGUAGUGAAGUAUGUUGUUUAAUUUGUAGGUACGCAAAGAACCUUACCACAAUUUGUAUAUUUAUUUAUAUUAAAUACAAGAGUUGCACGGCUGUCUUCAGUUAAUGUCGUGAGAUUUUGGUUAGUUCCAUAAAAUUAACGUAAACCCUUACUUUAUUUAUAUAUGAAGUAGUUCGCCAAUAUAUUGGAGUGAUAAAGGGACUAAACAAGCCUCAUGGCCAACAU